CUCUGGUGAGAAGUGCUUCCCAACACAACUGACAACCCAGGUUUGACAAAUGCAGGAGCCCCUUGUGGCAAACUACAAGUGCUUACCAGCACAGAAAGCUGUCUGAACAGCAGCACAUUUGGCUCCAGAGACAGCAUAGUUUCCAGCUUUAUUGAAGAGCCUUCUCUUGAUGGCAGACUACCUAUAGAGUUCAUUGCUAAAAAAUAUUGGGAUGUUGAACUAAUUCUGGUCAGACAUCACUGUGAUGUGGACAAUGAAGAAAUAGAGAUACACUGGAAUGAGUAUGGGAAAGGAAUGGCAUCUGCAGACCUAUUCCACCUGGGAGAAUAGUAGGAGGGUGAGAGAACUCCUUGAACUUGUGAAGAACAAGAAGAAAAUCAUGCUGGAACCAUCAGAGGAGUCAGCAGUACCAUAUGUGUAGGACUUCCACAAGAGAUUUCUUGAAUUUGGAACUAGAAAGAUGUAUUUCAUUUUUUGGAAACCUCCUUAAGAAGGCCUGUGGACAACACAUGUUGGAUCAAAAGUUUCAGAACUUAAGGUAUUUUGAAGCACUUUUUUGUUGUUGUUGUUAUUGCAGUUCUUUUCAUUACAACUAAUUUUGAUGAUUGUUGGGUGAAUUGUUCAGGGAAAAAAAAAAAUGAAAAAACCUACCAAAGUUCAUUGGUUAAAAAUUGUGAGCUAAAUUGAAGCACAUCUUUUUUAAUGGCAUUUCUAUGCUACUGUUUUCACAGAAUUACAGAAUUGUCUAGGUUGGAAGAGCCCUCCAAGAUCUCCAAGUCCUACCUCUGACCUAACACUAACAAGUCCUCCACUAACCAUAUCACUAAGCUCUACAUCUAAACGUCUUUUAGAGACCUCCAGGAAUGGUGACUCCACCACU
rnacentral:lncRNA from 1 species